ACUCCUACGGGAGGCAGCAGUGAGGAAUCUUGCGCAAUGGGCGAAAGCCUGAUCCAGCCAUGCCGCGUGAGUGAAGAAGGUCUUCGGAUUGUAAAGCUCUUUUACCAGGGACGAUAAUGACGGUACCUGGAGAAUAAGCCCCGGCAAACUUCGUGCCAGCAGCCGCGGUAAU
rnacentral:rRNA from 1 species